AAUGACUUUGCUAAAUCAGUAUGGAAUGCUUAUUAUUGCAAUACAGUAAGAUCAUGUUUUAUUUUAGCCCAUUUUAUUUUUUUCAGGCUGCUUGGAGAUCUUGCCUCAAGUGAUGUUGCCGUUGAGCUCCCCUUUACAUUAAUGCAUCCCAAACCAUUGGAGGAAUCGAUUUACAGAGAUGCUCCAGAAAAUGAUGCCCCCAUUGACACCAACCUCAUUGAAUUUGACACAAA